rnacentral:rRNA from 1 species
GAUCAUGGCUCAGGAUGAACGCUAGCUACAGGCUUAACACAUGCAAGUCGAGGGGCAGCAUGAACUUAGCUUGCUAAGUUUGAUGGCGACCGGCGCACGGGUGAGUAACACGUAUCCAACCUUCCCCGUUACUCUGGGGAUAGCCUUUCGAAAGAAAGAUUAAUACCGGAUAGUAUCGAGAGAUUGCAUGAUAACCCGAUUAAAGAUUUAUCGGUAACGGAUGGGGAUGCGUUCCAUUAGAUAG